rnacentral:misc_RNA from 1 species
UACGUAGGGGGCAAGCGUUGUCCGGAAUUAUUGGGCGUAAAGCGCGCGCAGGCGGCCUCUUAAGUCUGAUGUGAAAGACCCCGGCUCAACCUGGGAGGGCCCUUUGAAACUGGGAGGCUUGAGUAUAGGAGAGGAGAGCGGAAUUUCACGUGUAGCGGUGAAAUGCGUAGAGAUGUGGAGGAACACCAGUGGCGAAGGCGACUCUCUGGCCUAUAACUGACGCUGAGGCGCGAAAGCGUGGGGAGCAAACAGG